rnacentral:rRNA from 1 species
GAUGAACGCUGGCGGCGUGCCUAAUACAUGCAGGUCGAGCGAACGGACGAGAAGCUUGCUUCUCUGAUGUUAGCGGCGGACGGGUGAGUAACACGUGGAUAACCUACCUAUAAGACUGGGAUAACUUCGGGAAACCGGAGCUAAUACCGGAUAAUAUUUUGAACCGCAUGGUUCAAAAGUGAAAGACGGUCUUGCUGUCACUUAUAGAUGGAUCCGCGCUGCAUUAGCUAGUUGGUAAGGUAACGGCUUACCAAGGCAACGAUGCAUAGCCGACCUGAGAGGGUGAUCGGCCACACUGGAACUGAGACACGGUCCAGACUCCUACGGGAGGCAGCAGUAGGGAAUCUUCCGCAAUGGGCGAAAGCCUGACGGAGCAACGCCGCGUGAGUGAUGAAGGUCUUCGGAUCGUAGAACUCUGUUAUUAGGGAAGAACAUAUGUGUAAGUAACUGUGCACAUCUUGACGGUACCUAAUCAGAAAGCCACGGCUAACUACGUG